rnacentral:ncRNA from 1 species
CCUUACCCACCUCUCACUACGGAUCGUUCGGCGCGUACCCGCCGAUGGAGGCAUCACUU